GCCUUGUGGGUAAGGCGCCAGGUUAGUAACCUGAAGGUCGCAGGUUCGAGCCUG
rnacentral:tRNA from 11 species